rnacentral:piRNA from 1 species
UGGCUACUUCAUCAACAAUAAACAGGA